rnacentral:misc_RNA from 1 species
GUAGGUGAACCUGCGGAAGGAUCAUUACCAAAUCGUCGGCCUCCGGGCCGGUCCUAGGCGCGGGGGGUGCUCCCCCCCGCGCCCAAGGUUAAACCCCUUGUGAAACACCCCCGUUGCUUCGGCGGCGCCUCCGCUCCCCAGCGGGGGGUCAGCCCGCCGACGGCACCAAUUUUGAAACCCUUUUUUCUUGAAAAGAAGAAUGUCU